GAGUAUUUGAACUUCUUUAGAAGUAUUAGGAGGUACAAAUCGCAGGACUUAAAAUCCUGUGACCAUUGCGGUCGUGCGGGUUCAAGUCCCGCCUCGG
rnacentral:tRNA from 1 species